rnacentral:rRNA from 1 species
GGGCCCGCACAAGCGGUGGAGCAUGUGGUUUAAUUCGACGCAACGCGAAGAACCUUACCAGGUCUUGACAUCCUGCGAACUUUCUAGAGAUAGAUUGGUGCCUUCGGGAACGCAGUGACAGGUGCUGCAUGGCUGUCGUCAGCCCGUGUCGUGAGAUGUUGGGUUAAGUCCCGUAACGAGCGCAACCCUUGUCCUUAGUUGCCAGCACAUUAUGGUGGGAACUCUAAGGAGACUGCCGGUGACAAACCGGAGGAAGGUGGGGACGACGUCAAGUCAUCAUGGCCCUUACGACCUGGGCUACACACGUGCUACAAUGGCCAGUACAGAGGGCUGCUAACCCGUGAGGGGGCGCUAAUCUCACAAAGCUGGUCGUAGUCCGGAUCGCAGUCUGCAACUCGACUGCGUGAAGGCGGAAUCGCUAGUAAUCGCAGGUC